CCUACGGGUGGCAGCAGUGAGGAAUAUUGGUCAAUGGACGAGAGUCUGAACCAGCCAAGUAGCGUGAAGGAUGACUGCCCUAUGGGUUGUAAACUUCUUUUAUCUGGGAAUAAAAUGUUCCACGUGUGGGCUUUUGUGUGUACCAUAUGAAUAAGGAUCGGCUAACUCCGUGCCAGCAGCCGCGGUAAUACGGAGGAUCCGAGCGUUAUCCGGAUUUAUUGGGUUUAAAGGGAGCGUAGGUGGAUUGUUAAGUCAGUUGUGAAAGUUUGCGGCUCAACCGUAAAAUUGCAGUUGAAACUGGCAGUCUUGAGUACAGUAGAGGUGGGCGGAAGUCGUGGUGUAGCGGUGAAAUGCUUAGAUAUCACGAAGAACUCCGAUUGCGAAGGCAGCUCACUGGACUGCAACUGACACUGAGGCUCGAAAGUGUGGGUAUCAAACAGGAUUAGAUACCCCUGUAGUC
rnacentral:rRNA from 1 species